ACACUGUCUGCUUCGUAAUACCAGAUAAUAUAAAAGAAUUUGGGAAAAUGCACCUGCCACAAUCACUGUGUGAUUGGCGAUGUGCUGAUGUGGUUGAGACUUCCUGUGGUGGAAAAGAGGCUGUGUCACUGUACAAAGUCAUAAAUUUGACUUACAAAAAUUUUGCGGGGUUUAAAACACCACAUGAGGAACAAUGCAAUGCUUUGUAUCUAAAUGAUGUUGGUCCACCAGUAGCUUAUCAAAGGAUUACCUGCCAUAACAUUUCAACAUGUUCAACUUUGUGUUAACAAAAAAGGGCAUUCGGCGUUCUUAACGAAAAAGAGAAUGGUAGCAUUGUUCUCAAAUCUACGACAGAAAGGAAGACAACGUCUGUUUAUUUAUUUGCGAAUUAUUUAAUGAAGCAGCUGUUCAAAGGAAUGACUCGGAAGGAUCCAGUAGGUCAAAUAAUAUUCAAAUAGAUCUAACUCAGGGUAAUAUUUUUGUUAAGUUGGAAUUUAUAAAUUUAAAGACAAAUGCUUAUAUAUUAAUUAUAAAUAUGAGAAUUAUGUUCACAAACUCUAUGAUCGAAACAAUGAACAUGUCAGUAACUACAAUCUAUAAUUAAGUCGAAUGUUGACUGACGCCAUUUCACACUGAAUUGUAUAGUAGAUGCUUACUCCGCUACGGUACCAGAUCCCACCUUCGAUGUUUUUAGAUAUCUAUGUUUGCUCAGCUCCAGUUUUGUGUUUUUUCAUUAAAAUAAUAAGCCUGAUUACUGUUCGUUAUCUUCCUAUUUAAUCUUAAUUCAACACUUUACUCAUUUGUUUCUAAAUAACUUUUAAUAUACUACAAUUUUUAACCGGUUAAUCAAUUAAUCGGUUGGAACGAUUGUAAUCUGUUGGAAAAUCUGCAAUCGGUUAGUCAGAAAUUCUGCAUAAAAGUUAUUAGUUUAGCAUUUUUACAUAUCUUAUUAAGUUUAUUUGAAGGUAAUUAUGACCCUCCGGAUUGAGAUUGCGAGGCAAUGAUUGGUCAGUUAGAGAAGUGUUAAUUACUGUUUUUU